AGUCCAUGAUGUAGACAAAGUCUCAUCAAUACUUGUACCUUUCCCAUUCUUCAAAAAGUGACUCUUCAUCUUUAUGGUUGAAUCCGUUAAUUUGGCUUCUUAGCAU